rnacentral:rRNA from 1 species
AUGAACGCUGGCGGCGUGCUUAACACAUGCAAGUCGAACGGUGAAGCCCAGCUUGCUGGGUGGAUCAGUGGCGAACGGGUGAGUAACACGUGAGCAACCUGCCCCUGACUCUGGGAUAAGCGCUGGAAACGGCGUCUAAUACUGGAUAUGUGACGUGACCGCAUGGUCUGCGUCUGGAAAGAAUUUCGGUUGGGGAUGGGCUCGCGGCCUAUCAGCUUGUUGGUGAGGUAAUGGCUCACCAAGGCGUCGACGGGUAGCCGGCCUGAGAGGGUGACCGGCCACACUGGGACUGAGACACGGCCCAGACUCCUACGGGAGGCAGCAGUGGGGAAUAUUGCACAAUGGGCGCAAGCCUGAUGCAGCAACGCCGCGUGAGGGAUGACGGCCUUCGGGUUGUAAACCUCUUUUAGCAGGGAAGAAGCGAAAGUGACGGUACCUGCAGAAAAAGCGCCGGCUAACUACGU